AGUGAACGCUGGCGGUAGGCCUAACACAUGCAAGUCGAACGGCAGCACAGUAAUAGCUUGCUCUUACGGUGUCGAGUGGCGGACGGGUGAGGGAUACAUCCGAAUCUACUUUUUCGCGGGGGAUAACGUAGGGAAACUUACGCUAAUACCGCAUACGACCUACGGGUGAAAGCAGGUGAUCUUCGGACCCUGCGCGAGUUAAUUAGGCGAUGUCGGAUUUGCUAGGUGGGGGGGUAAAGGCCCACCAAGGCGACGAGCCGUAGAUGGUCUGAGAGGAUGAGACGCCACACUGGAACUGAGACACGGGCCAGACUCCUACGGGAGGCCGCAGUGGGGAAUAUUGGACAAUGGGCGCAAGCAUGAUCCAGCCAUACCGAGUGGGUGAAGAAGGCCUUCGGGUUGUAAAGCCGUUUUGUUGGGAAAGAAAAGCGGCAGGUUAAUACCACGCUGUUCUGACGGUACCCAAAGAAUAAGCACCGGCUAACUUCGUG
rnacentral:rRNA from 1 species